UACGUAGGGUGCGAGCGUUGUCCGGAAUUAUUGGGCGUAAAGAGCUUGUAGGCGGUUUGUCGCGUCUGCCGUGAAAGUCCGGGGCUCAACUCCGGAUCUGCGGUGGGUACGGGCAGACUAGAGUGUGGUAGGGGAGACUGGAAUUCCUGGUGUAGCGGUGAAAUGCGCAGAUAUCAGGAGGAACACCGAUGGCGAAGGCAGGUCUCUGGGCCACUACUGACGCUGGAGGAGCGAAAGCAUGGGGAGCGAACAGG
rnacentral:rRNA from 1 species